GGAAUAUAAGAACCUGACUCUUAAGUUUUAACUAAAAAAACUUAAAAUUAGCUCUUAAAUAAAAGUUUUAAGAGACGGUUCUUAGUUUUUUUAAUUAAAAAUUAAGAGAUGAAUUCUUAUAUUUC
rfam:Brassica napus, WGS project CCCW01000000 data, contig: 14029